GGUAUUCUUAGUGAGCAUUGCUCACAGUACCUCUUGUUUUAACAGGGUUUUUUUUUUUACAAUAACUAUCGGAAAAGACUAACAAAAUUUAUGUUCCUAUCAUGCAUAAAUCUAAAUAAAUCAUUGAUUUUGCAAAAUCUGAUGACAUUAUAGGAGGGUGGAAUUACUUUAAGUUAUGUUUAGUGCUGUGUGUAUAUAAACAUGCACUCAUAUAAUUAUAGCUUCCCUCUUCCAGGGGGAGACAUAUUGUAUUUGUACUUUCUGUCCGUCCUUCCUUCUGUCACAAAAUCUUGUGAACGCUUCUCCACCUAUAUGGCUUAUCAGAUAGACUUGAAACUUUGUACAAUGCUUCAUUGUCAUUUGCAGAUGUGAAUAUUGUUGGGACGGGAGGAUCCAAUUGUUUUCCUAAGAGUUAUAGUGGAUCUAAGAGGGGUGGAAGAUGUAAAAUAGCUUAUGAACUCUUCUCCUCCCAUAUGGCUUAUUGGAUAGACUUGAAACUUUGUACAAUGCUUAAUUGUCAUUUGUAGAUGUGCAUAUUGUCGGAAUGAGAGGAUCCAAAGUUUUUCCUAAAAGAUAUAGUGGAUCUAAAAGGGGUGGAGGAUGUUAAAAUACCUUGUGAACACUUCUCCUAUAUGGCUUAUCUGAUAGACUUGAGAAUUUGUACAAUGCUUCAAUGCCAUUUGUAGAUGUGCAAGUUGUAGGGACAGGAGGAUCCAAUUGCUAUCCUUAAAGUUAAAGUGGAUCUGAGGGGUGUAGGGUAUAAAAUAGUUUGUGAACGCUUCUCCUCCUAUAUGGCUUAUCAGAGUUCAUGUCUAUCUUCCUGCCCAUGCUUUCUCCUCCAUACUAUUCAAUACAUUAAGGGGGAUGUUUCCUAUAUUUUACGAAUUAAUUGGUUGAUUGACAACAAACUUGGUACACUUGUACAGCAUAUAUAAGGAGUAGAUGACCCCUAUUGAUUCUUAGGUCACAUGGUCAGUCCACUCUUGACAUAGGAAGAUAUUGUCUGCUCAAUAUUUUGAAUUGGUGAUACUACUAUCAAUUAAAUGAGGCACGGGUAUAACCCUUUCAAUUUUGCAACUUGGGGGGCAUAUGUGUUUUAGAAACAUCUCUUGUGUUGUAUUAUAUGAAUUACAGGUUUUAGUGUGCUCAGUUUAGAGAAUAGCAUAAAAGUAUUUGAUAAUUAAAUAUCUUGCAGAUUGGCAGUUUACUCCAUGCACCGACAGGAAUGAUAAACUGUGAUAUUCGUAAAUGGAACUGGGACACGUUCUAAAUAUACUCAGGGACAGAAUGAUGUGCAGCAAGGCUCGUCAUGGGUAGAGAUACUCCCAUUUAAUAUUGAUACUUUUCAUAUCCAAGCAUGUAUAUGGCUAGGUUGUAUAAUGUUUGUUAUAAUUAUCUAAAUUAUGUCCUUCCUUCCAUCUAUUGUUCUGUGUGUUGAUUUCUCACCACUCUGCAAGAAAGGGCAUUCAUGUCUAUUUCAUAGACGAUCGAUCCUACAUGUAGUUGCAAUUGAAUCAUAAAUUAUUCCCAAAGAGUUCAUGAUUUUAUCAUGUUUUGAAUAUAAUAUUUUUUCAAUAUCUAUUUUACCAAAUACAGAACACUGCAAGGCUUGCAAAAUGAAGACCUCAGUAAAACAAAUUCUAAAUUAUCCACUGUAAGGCUACUUACCAGUAAUUCAUAUCUAGAACUUAAACAUAUCAUCCUUGAAACAAUAAAAACUAAUUUAAUAUAGUAUAUUUAUGUAUGUUAUGCUUUUUCAACCUUUAAAUUUUUUAAAGACAGUAUAGUUUAUUAUGAUUGCACAAUAUUUAAAGUUUAAAUUUUCAUAGAAUUUUGUUUGCUCUCCAGAAUGGCAGCUCACUACCUGCCCCUAGUGAUGUUAAAAGAGGCCAUUGUUCUCAUUUGUUCCAAAACAGGAAUGGCAUAUGAGGAGGCCAACAGAAGAUGCACCUCCACUGAGUGUGCACUCACAAAACGAAUAAAUUAUUAUUAUUUCUUUUGUUUGUAAUUGUAUAUUGUCAACAAGGUCAAAGGCACUUGAUCCGAUGCCAAACUUUUGCAUUUCUUUUGCUUUGUGGUAAAUUUUCUUCAGUAACAUUAACAUUGUUUAAAUUGUUUUCUUUGGAGAGUAUACAUGUACACAUGGAUUAUUUGUAUAUUAGAAUUAUAGCAUUGUUUAAUUCAACUCAUUUUUAUCAUAGAGAGGUUAUUAUAUACUGUAGGCAACGACUUGUAAAGGGUAUACUGUUUUAACUCACGUGCAAGGCAAGGCAGUAUUAUGAAACUCUGUAGUUGAUAAGGACAUAUAUCACAUAUCGAUAUGCAUAUUUACAGGAAACUCUGAUGUAUUUUAAAUCUGAACGUUAAUUUAAAAGUGGGGAGAAAUAGCAUUGGAUGAAAAAAGACACAUAUGAAGAAAAUUAUUCCAUACGUAAAUACUUUUAAGCUCACUUGAGCUGAAAGCUCAAGUGAGCUUUUCUGAUCGCCUGUUGUUCAUUGUCUGUCCGUGAUUAAACAUUUUAUAUUUUCUCCAGAAGCACUGGGCCAAUAAUAACCAAACUUAGCCAAAAGUAUCCUUGGGUAAAGGGCUUUCGAGUUUGUUCAAAUGAAGGGCCAUGUCCUCUUCAAAGGGGAGAUGAUCACAAAAAUAGGGUGGGUCAUUUAAUUUUUUUUUUUAUCAAGAACCACUGGGCCGGAAGAGCUGAAAUGUACAUGAAAGCUUCCUGACAUAGUACAGAUUCAAGUUUAUUGAAAUCAUGGCCUCCAGGGGUUGUAUGGGGCCACAAUAGAGAAUCAAAGUUUUACAUACAAUUAUUCAGGAAAAAUCUUUCAAUAUGAGCCAAGGUGGCUCAGGUGAGCGAUGUGGCCCAUGGGCCUCUUGUUCAACAUAUAGAAUAAAUAGUUAUGUUGUAUUUCCCAUGGAACAUUGAAACGUUUAAUGCGUUUACCAAUUAAUCACUGAAAGAAAGAUAAAAUUGUUGUUUCAUAUGUUUUAUGAAAACUUAAAGAUGUUUCAUUUCUUUUCAUGAAAGACCCCUUAAUUACCCAGUAAUAUAUAAUCAAUUCUUAACAGAUUAUGUAAAUUUGAUUUAUAUUAAGGAUGUUUGAUCUGAUUACCCAUCAUUAUCAAUCUGUCUAAUAUAGCCAUCAUGUGUUACUAUUGCUACGCAAUCUUGGAGCAUGAGGUAGAAUGCGAACCAGCUCUUUCAUAAGUACAUGUAUCUGGAAAAUAUUUCAAUGUCAAAGGUUACAACAAUGUAAUAAUGUAAUCAUUGUAUGUCUAAGGUCUUGAUAAUAAAACUGUUAUCUGUUCAACGUUUUCUUCUUAAUUAAAAUCAAGACUAAGUACCAGAGGAAAUUGUGGAAAAAAAUGUCUGUCAAAUACGUCAAGCUCUUACAUGUAGUAGUUGCAGAUUCAACUAUUUAUAGAGAUACUGAGUUAUGAUGCACACAAAAAUGGGUCUGGCACAAAAAUGUUGAUUUAGCUCAAGAUGACUGGAAAAGUCUAUAACACAGAGAGACUGGGUGUUUAUUCAAUUGUGAUUGAUUGAUUGAAUAUUGUUAAACGUCCCUCUCGAGAAUAUUUCACUCACAUUGAGACGUCACCACUGCCGGUGAAGGGCUGUAAAAUUUAGGCCUAUGCUCGGCGCUUAUAGCCAUUGAGCAGGGAGGGAUCUUUAUUGUCCCACACCUGCUGUGACACAGGACCUCUGUUUUUGCGGUCUCAUCCGAAGGACCGCCCCAUUUAAUCGCCUCUUACGACAAGCAAGGGGGUACUGAGGAUCUAUUCUAACCCGAAUCCCCACGAGACUAUUCAAUUGUGCCUGAUGAUUAAACUAAUAAUAAACAUGUAUGGAAAAUUUAAUAUCAGUGAAAUACGAUACUGUUGUACAGAGACAAAGUUGUAUUUUAUAGGCUAAGACAGUGUAAGGCUCUACAGGGACUAGGUUAGGCUCUACAGGGACUGGGUUAUACUCUACAGGGACUAGGUUAUACUCUACAGGGACUAGGUUAUGCUCUACAGGGACUAGGUUAUACUCUACAGGGACUAGGUUAUGCUCUACAGGGACUAGGUUAUGCUCUACAGGGACUAGGUUAUACUCUAAAGGUGCUAGGUUAUACUCUACAGGGAAUAGGUUAUGCUCUACAGGGACUAGGUUAUACUCUACAGGGACUAGGUUAUACUCUAAAGGUACUAGGUUAUGCUCUACAGGGACUAGGUUAUGCUCUACAGGGACUAGGUUAUGCUCUACAGGGACUAGGUUAUACUCUAAAGGUACUAGGUUAUACUCUACAGGGACUAGGUUAUGCUCUACAGGGACUAGGUUAUGCUCUACAGGGACUAAGCUAUGCUCUACAAGGACUGGGUUAGGGUUUACAAGGAUUGGAUUAGAUGCAGUGAACUGGAUCAUAUCCUAAUUAGUAUUAGAGUCAGGCCCGUGAACUCAAUCACAUUUUUGAUUAGUGUUAGAAUCAGGCCCGUGAACUCAAUCACAUCUUAAUUAGUGUUAGAGUCAGGCCCGUAAACUGGAUCAUAUCCUAAUAUCCAAAAACACUUCUCUAGGAUCGUGCAAGGUUUUUCGAAAUUCUCACCUUCACUUGCAAGUAUAUCGAACCUUGGACUUUGGACUAUACAAGGCUAUAUAGAUAAAUGCCAACUGCUCUUUCUUGGCAGACUCUUGAGAGCGGACCAUUCCUCUAUUUUUUCCCAAAUAUAUCGAUUUAUUACUGACACUCCUGUAUCUUCAAUGUUUUCACCAACCAAGACUUUAUUAAAAACAGCAGAAAAAUAUCAACUCUCUGACACUAUGAAUUCCGCAACUGUCUUCAACAAAAAAGAAUUUUCAAAAAUCGUUGUGAAAACUAUACGGUCAGCAGAGGAAAGACAAUGGAGAGGUGCAUUAUCUGCUGAUCCAUCUCUGUCUACAUUUGGAAAAAUCCACACAAGACUAUGUCCAAACAAACUCUGGUACCUGGUGAAAGAAGAUCCGUCGAAACGGUUGCUAUUUAAUUUUCUCAUACAGCUUUCAUCUAUGAAAAUCGUUUCUAAAUUGUGCUCAUUCUGUGACAAAUAUUCGGAUAACUACAACUUGCACAUUCUCCUCGAAUGCUUUUACACAUUAGAUGAUAGACAAUGUCUUUUAGAAAUGAUAUUAGAUAUUAUUGAUGUUCAUGAAUAUGUUCUUUUUGAAAAUCAGGAUACAGAAAAACAAUAUCUAUCGUUACUGGGUUGUAUUGAUGAAACUAGUUUUAAUGACAUAUCCUUUUGUAAAUGGAAAGAAAUAAUGCUGUGUGUUGCAACGAUAAUAUACAGAAUAAGAAGUUGCUUUAUUGUAGAUUGCCGAAAGUUCUAGAUGAUUUGUUACCUAAAUAUAUGGUUAUAUAUAUUAUAGACAUGUUACUUAUAUUCUCCACUAUGUAAAUAUGUUCUAUGUUUGAUACAUGUAAUUUCCACAAACUCUCCGUUAAGUCGGAGGAAAUAAAGAAUAUCUUAUCUUAUC